CAGAGUCAAUGUGGAGGAUAUAUACAGGGGGUACCGGUACAGAGUCAAUGUGGAGACUAUAUACAGGGGGUACCGGUACAGAGUCAAUGUGGAGGCUAUAUACAGGGGGUACCGGUACAGAGUCAAUGUGGAGGCUAUAUACAGGGGGUAUUACGGUACAGAGUCAAUGUGGAGGCUAUAUACAGGGUGUUACGGUACAGAGUCAAUGUGGAGGCUAUAUACAGGGGGUACCGGUACAGAGUCAAUGUGGAGGCUAUAUACAGGGGGUACCGGUACAGAGUCAAUGUGGAGGCUAUAUACAGGGGGGUACCGGUACAGAGUCAAUGUGGAGGCUAUAUACAGGGGGUACCGGUACAGAGUCAAUGUGGAGGCUAUAUACAGGAGGUACCGGUACAGAGUCAAUGUGGAGGCUAUAUACAGGGGGUACCGGUACAGAGUCAAUGUGGAGGCUAUAUACAGGGGGUACCGGUACAGAGUCAAUGUGGAGGCUAAAUACAGGGGGUACCGGUACAGAGUCAGUGUGGAGGCUAUAUACAGGGGGUACCGGUACAGAGUCAAUGUGGAGGCUAUAUACAGGGGGUACCGGUACAGAGUCAAUGUGGAGGCUAUAUACAGGGUAUUACAGUACAGAGUCAAUGUGGAGGCUAUAUACAGGGGUACUACGGUACAGAGUCAAUGUGGAGGCUGUAUACAG
rnacentral:lncRNA from 1 species